ensembl:lncRNA NUTM2A-AS1 NUTM2A antisense RNA 1
UCUAUGGUUUCCGCGGCUCGCUAGAAGGAGUGCGGUCCACUGGAGGUCUCCCUACAUUCUUCCUCCAUUAUCUCACUGCCUCCGGUGGCUGCUGGGAUACCGGAGGACUCGGGUCCCGGCUCGACUCAGUCCUCCAGCCGCCCGGGGAAUACCUCUAGUUCUUCCCGGCCGCCGCCGCCUCCGCCCCGCCGCUUCCUCCUCCGCCUGCCGGCCUCCUUCGCCCCGCCCCGUCCGCGCAGCUCGUCCGGCCCGCCCGCAGGCCAGCUUCUCUCGGGAGCCUCCACCCAGGCGCAUGGCUCCAUGAAGCAAGAGGAGGAGGCAGAGCGCGAGAGAUCCCGUCCGCCCCAGCCGCGUCUGGGCCAGGAGAAAAGCAAAACCAUAUUCCUGCUGCUGUCAGUUUUGAUGCACUGAGAAAACUUCAGAGACCUAAGCUUUUUCCAGAGAAGAGAAGCUUUACUGGUGUUCCAGCCCUAAGGCUCAUAUGACAUUAACAGACAAGACACUUUUCAGAAAGACAGGCAACGUGUUGGACCUUCCGGAGCUUCUCAGAAGACAGAGGGUUUUCUUUUGAGGCUGUUGUACAGUGGCCUGAUUAUAGCUCACUGUAGCCUCGAAAUUCUGGGCCGAAAUGAUCCGCCUGCCUCAGCCUCCAAAGUAGCUGAGACUACAGGUAUUGUUUGGGUUUUAAUACAGACAAAUCAACUCAAUCAAAGAAACCAACUCAAAGAAAGAUGGGUCUACAUACAACAAAACUGAACAAAAUCUGCAAGAAGAGUGAUUCAUACAUGGGCUAUUGAGGCAACAUGAGAUGGACAUUAAUCGACUAAGUAAAAAACAGAUUUCUUGAAGAAUUAAUAAAGAACUUUUGUUUUGGAA